GUGCUUGCUUUGGCAGCACAUAUACUAAAAUUGGAAAGAUACAGAGAAGACUAGCAUGUCUCCUGUGCAAGGAUGGCAUGUAGACUUGGGAAGUGUUUCAUAUUUUU